AGCGAACGCUGGCGGCAGGCCUAACACAUGCAAGUCGAACGAACCUUUCGGGUUGAGUGGCGGACGGGUGAGUAACACGUGGGAACGUGCCUUUAAGUUCGGAAUAACUCAGGGAAACUUGUGCUAAUACCGAAUGUGUCCUUCGGGGGAAAGAUUUAUCGGCUUUGGAGCGGCGCGCGUCUGAUUAGCUAGUUGGUUGAGGUAAUGGCUCACCAAGGCGAGGAGCAGUAGCUGGUCUGAGAGGAUGAUCAGCCACAUUGGGACUGAGACACGGCCCCAACUCCUACGGGAGGCAGCGGUGGGUAAUCUUGCGGAAGGGGCGAAAGCCUGACGCAGCCAUGCCGGGUGAAUGAUGAAGGUCUUAGGAUUGUAAAAUUCUUUCAGCGGAGACGAUAAUGACGGUACCCGGAGAAGAAGCCCCGGCUAACUACGUG
rnacentral:rRNA from 1 species